rnacentral:rRNA from 1 species
AGAAUCAACGCUGGCGGCGUGCCUAACACAUGCAAGUCGAUCGAGAAAGUGGAGCAAUCCAUGAGUAAAGAGGCGCACGGGUGAGUAACACGUGACUAACCUACCUUCGAGUGGGGAAUAACCUGGGGAAACCCGGGCUAAUACCGCAUAAUACCUACGGGUCAAAGGAGCAAUUCGCUUGAAGAGGGGGUCGCGGCAGAUUAGUUAGUUGGCGGGGUAAUGGCCCACCAAGACGAUGAUCUGUA